UAAUACAUGCAGUCGAGCGGACCGGUUCGGAGCUUGCUCUGAUUUGGUCAGCGGCGGACGGGUGAGUAACACGUGGGCAACCUGCCCGCAAGACCGGGAUAACUCCGGGAAACCGGAGCUAAUACCGGAUAACACCGAAGACCGCAUGGUCUUUGGUUGAAAGGCGGCCUUUGGCUGUCACUUGCGGAUGGGCCCGCGGCGCAUUAGCUAGUUGGUGAGGUAACGGCUCACCAAGGCGACGAUGCGUAGCCGGCCUGAGAGGGUGACCGGCCACACUGGGACUGAGACACGGCCCAGACUCCUACGGGAGGCAGCAGUAGGGAAUCUUCCGCAAUGGGCGAAAGCCUGACGGAGCGACGCCGCGUGAGCGAAGAAGGCCUUCGGGUCGUAAAGCUCUGUUGUGAGGGACGAAGGAGCGCCGUUCGAAGAGGGCGGCGCGGUGACGGUACCUCACGAGGAAGCCCCGGCUAACUACGUGCCAGCAGCCGCGGUAAUACGUAGGGGGCGAGCGUUGUCCGGAAUUAUUGGGCGUAAAGCGCGCGCAGGCGGUUCCUUAAGUCUGAUGUGAAAGCCCACGGCUCAACCGUGGAGGGUCAUUGGAAACUGGGGGACUUGAGUGCAGGAGAGGAGAGCGGAAUUCCACGUGUAGCGGUGAAAUGCGUAGAGAUGUGGAGGAACACCAGUGGCGAAGGCGGCUCUCUGGCCUGCAACUGACGCUGAGGCGCGAAAGCGUGGGGAGCAAACAGGAUUAG
rnacentral:rRNA from 1 species